CCGCCCGCCCGCCCGCGAUCUUCGUCUUCCUCGGCUGACAGUUGCUGUUCCAAGUGACCCUGAUUCACCAUGUGUUGGGAUGGUGAUGAUACAUCACAAAACUUCAACUGAAGUUUGCAGCUGGUUAAAAUAAGUAAGUUUAUAUGCUGCUUUUUCGCAAGCUGGGAGAAAUAUUUGAUAGAGAUCAACGGAAGCUGAUAAUCUCCCUCCACAAAUAGCAAGUGACAGUACCAACAUGGAGCAAGCACCACAUGUCUGCAGGUUUUGACCUUUCUAUAGAGGAGAACUGAUUCUGGAGAACAACUUAACUUCUGUGAUUGAAAACCCCUGUAUUUUACAUGAAAAGAAAUGGGAGAUUAAGGUUAUAACAAGUUAAUAUAGGCCGUACUGGUAUUAUGUGAUAACAACUUGUUGCCUCAAUUGAACAAGCAUUCUUGUCCCUGAAGGAUGGACAAAUGGGCUGGAGAAUGAUUGUUAAAAGGAGGUUGUAUGACUGGUUAUUCAAAGAAAGAGAAGGACUUUGCUGUUCUGAAUACAUGCCACCACUAUGCAUGGGUGGGAAAGACUGUUGGUAGGACUUUUUUAUCCAGGGCUACAAGUGAGACUUCACAAUAUUUCUGAAGUAACUCUUAAGAGAGCCUGGUUCCUCUUUGGCUCCCUGAAAAGGAUUCCUGGAUGCUGAAUCUGUGAUAUUGCAAGGAAACAUUUCAGAGAAUUACGAGAAUUCUUGUUGGCAUUGCCACCAUCCCAAGCUUUAAGUCUCAAUACCUGCUUGAUCUUCCCUGCCUUUGCUGAUCUCCUGGACUUUGCCUGCCUACACGGACCCAUGGCACCUGCUUGUUCCUUCCUGCCUUUGCUGAUCUCCUGGAUUCUGGACUUUUGUUUUUCUACUGGAACUGAUUUGCUCUUCCCUAUAUUAAUUGACCCUACUCUGUCCUUGACCCCUUGCCUGCUUAUGCUUUUGUUAUGUGGAUUAACUAAACACCCUUCCCUGCCAUCUCCUACCUACCGUAUCCCAUGGCAUCUAUGCCCCUGCAUGAUAGUGGAAAUUGAUCGGCUUUUUAAAAAAAAUAAAUAUAAUAAGAAAAAUGCAUAGCAUUGUAGAAUUCAUUUUCUUUUAAAGCUUAAAUUCAUUAUUUUUAAAUCUCCCUAAAAUUUUCUAGACCUCCUAAUGUGACUUUUAGCUGCCCUUUCCUCCCCAUUUUGUAGACAAAUGUGUAGCAUAAGAUAUGUUUUGAGCAGGAUUCUAUAAUAUUCAGGAAGUCGUGAUGCUUUCUGGAGGAUCAGAGUUCAUGUCUUAGGAUUCCUUUCUAUAUCCUACAAUGCAGAAUGUUAAUACAUUAGGAGAUUUUCAAUAAAUACCAUGUUGGUCUGAAUAUAAGUUGUACUUUCAACAAAAUCAUACAAAACCCAAAUAUGGUUUGUAUCUUAGUGAGAAAAUAUUAUUAGUAAGAAAUCUAGACUGGCUCUAUAAUUUCAUUGUAUUGGGAGCUCCCUAAGAAGGGAACUCACUCUAUCAAAUGCAGGUUGGCCUCUGCAACUAGAGGACUGAGAGAUUAAAUGUGUGACACUUAUUUCCCAGAGUUCCACAGCCAAUAUAUAUGAGGGACAAGACUUGAAUUUGGGUCUUCUUGAUUUCAAGGACAGCUAGCUCACUAUCCACUAUACCAAACUGUUGUUAGUAAGAGAAUUCAGUAAAAGUGCCAAAGGUGGAAAGGGGCAGGGGAAACAUGACCAAAGUAAAUAAAUAAUUGUAUUUGAAUGGAAAGAAAUAUUUUUAAAAAGAAAAGAAAACCUUUCAUAAUAAUUAUUUUAAUUCAAUAAUUUUGUGUAGUUUUUCAGUUUUUGCCAAUUCUUUUUAAAAAUCUCAUUUUAGGAAUGCAGUCUUUGAGUACAGCCUAUAUUCAGAUAAAUAUGAUACAAGUUCAGUAGAAUUGAAAUAGGGAAAUGUUCAAGGAGAUAUAAGGAUGGGGUGAUGAGUUGUAUUCUAAUCUCAUCUUUAAAUCUUGCCGGGAACUGCCUUUGGAAUUAAGCAGACAGAGCCAAAUCUGAAUGAAAAUCCUUUUUGUUCCAAACCUUUUACUAUUCAAGCCACAUUUCCUAUUAUGCCUUUAAUACCAUCAUGCCCUUUGAUGAAAAUGUAAUGUGAAAUGUUUCUGUACGACAAUUAUGAAGAAUUCUUAUUUAUUCAUGUUCUUUGAUUUCCAUAUUUAUCACAUAAUUUGUUUUCAUAAAAUGUUUGUCCUUUUAUUAUUGUACUUUCUUUGAGGCAAAGGACUGUGUUUUAGUUAAUCUUUGUAUCCCUGAUGCUUGGCACAGUGCCUUAAAUUACAGUAAGUGUUUAAUAAAUGUUUAAUAUGUAUUUAUUCUAAUGUUAUAGUUUGUUUUUAAAUUAAGGUUAAUUUCUUUAUUAAAAUGAAGCUUUAGAAUUAACUGU